rnacentral:rRNA from 1 species
GACGAACGCUGGCGGCGUGCCUAAUACAUGCAAGUAGAACGCUGAAGCGAGGAGCUUGCUCUUCUUGGAUGAGUUGCGAACGGGUGAGUAACGCGUAGGUAACCUGCCUUGUAGCGGGGGAUAACUAUUGGAAACGAUAGCUAAUACCGCAUAACAAUGGAUGACACAUGUCAUUUAUUUGAAAGGGGCAAUUGCUCCACUACAAGAUGGACCUGCGUUGUAUUAGCUAGUAGGUGAGGUAAUGGCUCACCUAGGCGACGAUACAUAGCCGACCUGAGAGGGUGAUCGGCCACACUGGGACUGAGACACGGCCCAGACGCCUACGGGAGGCAGCAGUAGGGAAUCUUCGGCAAUGGGGGCAACACUGACCGAGCAACGCCGCGUGAGUGAAGAAGGUUUUCGGAUCGUAAAGCUCUGUUGUAAGUCAAGAACGGGUGUGAGAGUGGAAAGUUCACACUGUGACGGUAGCUUACCAGAAAGGGACGGCUAACUACGUG